rnacentral:rRNA from 1 species
AUACGUAGGUGGCGAGCGUUGUCCGGAAUUACUGGGUGUAAAGGGCGUGUAGACGGGUGUGCAAGUCAGAUGUGAAAUUCCAGGGCUCAACCCUGGCGCUGCAUCUGAAACUGUGCAUCUUGAGUGCUGGAGAGGAAAGCGGAAUUCCUAGUGUAGCGGUGAAAUGCGUAGAUAUUAGGAGGAACACCAGUGGCGAAGGCGGCUUUCUGGACAGUAACUGACGUUGAGGCGCGAAAGCGUGGGGAGCAAACAGGAUUAGAUACCCUGGUAGUCCACGCCGUAAACGAUGGAUACUAGGUGUAGGAGGUAUCGACCCCUUCUGUGCCGGAGUAAACACAAUAAGUAUCCCACCUGGGGAGUACGGCCGCAAGGUUGA